UCAUCUACCUGCCUUUUCCUAUUCUUUGGCUGGAGAGACGGUAAUACAGAACGCGACCCUUACUUCUCCUUGCCUCCUCUUACUGCCACCACCACCUCUGCUCCCUUCUCCGCCAACUAUCCACCACCAGGCCCUUAGUUACCCUCUCAAUACGUCACUUGGCCUUUAGUGUUGUGUCCGGUUUCCAAAUCCGGAUAAAACUCUAAAAUUUCAGAGAUCGUUACGCGAGUUCCACUCCCUCCUUACCGCUUUUGAAUUCUAAUCUCUUUGUCGUUACGUGUUGCAUAUAGAUCUAAUUAUCUGGCAGAACGAAAUCUUGUCACAUUAGUGGAAGAGGGAACAAAUCCUUAUCCAUGAUUAUCUUAGUUUCUCUCUCUCUCUCUCUCUCUCUCUCUCUCUCUAGCUUAGUUGAUUCGCUAGUGCCUUUUGGGUGAGAUUUUUACUAAAUCUAUGGGGUUUACUUACUGUGACAGGGUUUGAAUCCCCAUUUCCUUUGUCUUUCUCUUUUCUUUUGUUUCCCAUUCUUCUAUUUCUCUUCUACCCCAUUCCCAGUGGUUUUCUCUUUUCAUUUUGUCUCUUCGUUUCAUUGAAUCUGCAGCUCGAUUUGGGGAUUAUUUCGAUCAAAUCUCAAACCCAUUAUGCAACAAGCUGGGUAUUCAUACCCUUCAUCAACCGUUGUUAGCACUGCUCUUGUUAUGGCUUAUAUGUGUAAAUAGCCAUAGUUGGCACAUCAGAUUCAAUAGUAUGUUUCGAUGCAAGUGAGGGUUGAGAAGCGAAAGAGUAUCGGCAACUAUUUCAUCUUCUACCCGAAGAAAAGUUCUUAGACAGCCCAAGCCCAUCCCUUGGAAAGAAAAAGGUAACACCGAAGGAAGAAAGAGUGAGAUGGUGGUUUUUGUAGUUCCCGCAAGAGAAGAUCAUUCGCUUGGUUUUUCUUCAUCCAAAGAUUGUAGGCUGAGGCUUUGGUCGAAGGUUCACCUCCCUUGGGCGACUCUAACCCUUGAAUCUUAGGCCUGAAAGAGACCUUUUCUGUGAGAGAAUAACCUGCAAACCUACCCAGAUCUAUGUUUGUCGCCCUUAUGAUUUCAGGAGCUUAGUAUUGAGGCAAUAGCUGAUCUGUCGGGUUUUGUUUUGGAGGGUUUAAUAGAGCUGGGAGAUGCGAUCCUACACAUGCAAUUCAACACUAAUCGAUAAACACUGAAGGAAUAUAUCCUUGGAAUCCUCACUGGUUUCCUCCUUGUCUCUGAAUUGGGAGGUUGAAGACAACCCCCUUCUCUUGGAUGUAAUAUUUCUAUCUCCACUUUCCCAUAUUACCCCUUUCUUUUUUGUUUAUGCCCCACUAUCCUUUGUCAAAGUUUAACUCCAAGAUUAUCCCUCUCCCACCAUACAUUAUUCAUUGUUUCUUAAUUGGGUUGAAUUGCAUUAUUUACAAGUUUGCCAUUAUUUCUGAAAGCUUUGUGUUAAUUACAAAAACUGCCACUCCUUUAUAAAUUUCUACCUAUUUAGAGAAUUG